rnacentral:rRNA from 1 species
GACGAACGCUGGCGGCGUGCUUAACACAUGCAAGUCGAACGGAAAGGCCUGCUUUCCCUUGUGGAUUGCGGGUACUCGAGUGGCGAACGGGUGAGUAACACGUGAGUGAUCUGCCCCCAACUUGGGUAUAAGCCUGGGAAACUGGGUCUAAUUCCCGAUAGGACUGCAGGGUGGUGCCUGUGGUGGAAAACGAUUUUCUAGUGGUUGGGGAUGAGCUCGCGGCCUAUCAGCUUGUUGGUGGGGUAAUGGCCUACCAAGGCGGCGACGGGUAGCCGGCCUGGGAGGGUGGACGGCCACAUUGGGACUGAGAUACGGCCCAGACUCCUACGGGAAGCAGCAGUGGGGAAUAUUGCACAAUGGGCGGAAGCCUGAUGCAGCGACGCCGCGUGGGGGAUGACGGCCUUCGGGUUGUAAACUCCUUUCGACCGCGAGGAAGCCACCUGGUUGGAAGGGUGGUGACGGUAGUGGUAGAAGAAGCACCGGCUAACUACGUG